rnacentral:rRNA from 1 species
CCCUUAGAUGUUCUGGGCAGCACGCGCGCUACAAUGGUCUUCGCAAACGGAUGCAUUCUCGUAGGAGAAUGCCAAUCUUGGAAUCUAUGCCUUGGUCGGGACAGUUGCUUGCAAUUUUUCGACUCGAACCAGGAAUUCCUUGUAAUCGUGAUUCAUCACAUCACGAUGAAUACGUCCCUGCCCUUUGUACACACCGCCCGUCGCUCCUACCGAUCGAAGAGUUAGGUGAAUUGUUUUGAUCGAUAAGAUUUGACUAUGGUCAACUCUCGUUGUGAAAUUCUGUGAAUCUGACUGUUUAGAGGAAGGAAAAGUCGUAACA